UACGGAGGGGGCUAGCGUUGUUCGGAAUUACUGGGCGUAAAGCGCACGUAGGCGGCUUUGUAAGUUAGAGGUGAAAGCCCAGGGCUUAACCCUGGAAUUGCCUUUAAGACUGCAUCGCUAGAAUCGUGGAGAGGUGAGUGGAAUUCCGAGUGUAGAGGUGAAAUUCGUAGAUAUUCGGAAGAACACCAGUGGCGAAGGCGACUCACUGGACACGUAUUGACACUGAGGCACGAAGGCCAGGGGAGCAAACGGG
rnacentral:rRNA from 1 species